AUGGAAGUUAAAGUCAUUAAAGCAGACAAAUGUCAUAUCAAUAUUAGUAAGGAGAGAUUAGGAGAAGUAGUAGGACCUGUUCAAGUUUAUAUAGGCUAUGUGGGGGAAAAAUAUAAUUUUAUAAGUAUUUGUUGGGAAAGUGAUUUCAAACACAAUACAUACAAAUUUAUUUUGAUUAAACCUAAAAUUAUUAAGAUCAUAAGAGCAUCCAUAUCUAUUAUAUUCAUUUGGAUUCUUUAA